GAGCCUGGGAUUGGGCGUGGCGUGGCUGCUGCUCUUGGCCUGCGCCGUGUGGGCGUUGAACUGCGCGUGGUGGAGGCCUAGGCGACAGGACCGCUUGCUCCGGGCGCAGGGACUCCAAGGCACUCCUUACCGCUUCCUCCGCGGCGACCUCAAGGAGGACGAGCGCCUCCUCGCGCAGGCGCUCUCCAAGCCCAUGCCCCUCUCCCACCACAUCAUCCCUCGCGUCGAACCUUUCCUCCACGCCGCUAUGAACGAUCUCGGCAAGUCCUCUUGGCUGUUGCUGUCUCCCUCCCCCUUCUCCUCCUUUUGCUUUGCCAACUCUCAGUUGUUUCAGCAAGCUGUUCGAUUCCAUCACCAACAGAAGGAUUGAGAAAUCACUUCAUGCACUGAACUAGAUGAAACAAACAUUACAUAUCAAUUCAUAGAUUUCAGUAGGCAUAUAUACUUUCUUGAGGCCGACAAUUGACCUUCUUUAGAUUUCCAACUUGAGAACAGAUAUCAAGUGUGAGCCAUGCACUGACUUGUGAGCGAAGUCUUAUGCUGUGUUAAGAACAAACCUGUAGUCUCAAUUGCAGGCAGCAGAUUCUUCAGCUGGUUUGGACCUGUGCCACGAGUGAUGAUCAUGGACCCGGAAUUUGUGAGGGAAAUCCUAUCGAACAAGUUUGGUCAUUUUGAACGAGAAACUCUAAGCCCCGUCGGACGAGCUUUAGUUACUGGUCUUUUAAGCUAUAAUGGGGGAAAGUGGGCCAAACACAGGAGGAUUCUGAACCCUGCUUUCCAUGUCGAGAAGUUAAAGGUAAUCAAUCAUCCAUGGUUCUCUCCUUUGGACACAUCUCAAUCUUAACUUGCGGCUGAUACGAUUUUAGAUAAUUCAAAUGCCUCAUAAUUUGUUGUAAUUCGCAGCGGAUGUUGCCGGCGUUCUCUACUUCUUGUGGUGAUCUCGUCGGCAGAUGGGAGAAUUUGGUCGGCCAGGAGGGAUCCUGUGAAUUAGAUGUUUGGCCUGAGUUCCAAUACUUCACCGGAGACGUCAUUUCACGAGCAGCUUUCAGCAGCAACUACGAAGAAGGUAGACGAAUUUUCCAACUCCAACUCGAGCUCGCUCAACUCGUCGUUCAGGCUAUCCACAGUGCUUAUAUACCGGGUUACAGGUGAGCUCCUUCUGUGUCCAUGUUCCAGUCGAAGAACAACGAAGACUAUAUGACUCUGGAUGCUCUUUAACUUGCAAAUAUUAGAAUUCUUGCGAUUACUGGCUCUAAUUGCUGCUUUGUACGUGGCACAGAUUUCUGCCUACCCCAAUGAAUAACAGAAUAAAAGCGAUCAAUAAAGAGAUUCGAUCACUUCUACGAGGUAUAAUAAGGAAGAGAGAGGAAGCUAUGAAAACUGGUGAAGCAAGCGGCCAAGAUCUCUUGGGCUUGUUGAUGGAGUCCAAUAUCAAGCAAUUCCAGGAGCAUGGGAACAAGAAUGCUGGGAUGACCAUCGAUGAAGUGGUUGAUGAAUGCAAGCUAUUCUACUUUGCAGGCCAAGAAACAACUGCUAUCUUGCUUACAUGGACGAUGGUGGUCUUAAGCAUGCAUCCCGAAUGGCAAGAAAGGGCUAGAGAAGAGGUCCUGCAGGUCCUUGGGAAAGACAAACCAGAGAUCGAUGGUUUGAACCGUUUGAAGAUUGUGAGUGCUCUGCAAUUACGCUAAUCAGCUUUCUUUUAGGUAAAUGCAGGGUCUAAACAAUUGCUGUGGCAGGUGACGAUGAUACUAUACGAGGUUCUUCGGUUGUAUCCACCUCUGCUACUCAUCCAGAGGAGAACAUACAAGACGGUGGAAAUCGGAAACGUAUCGUACCCACCAGGAACACUGCUCGCAAUGCCCAUAGUUUUCCUUCACCAUGACCAAAUCUUGUGGGGCGAAGAUGCAAGUGAGUUCAAACCAGAGAGAUUCGCGGAAGGGAUAGCAAAGGCGUCGAGAGAUCAGGUUGCUUUCUUUCCGUUCGGCGGGGGUCCUCGCGUUUGCAUCGGUCAAAAUUUUGCGUUGCUGGAAGCUAAGAUGGGAUUGAGUACGAUUCUUCAAAGAUUUUGGUUUGAGCUCUCACCAUCGUAUGCUCAUGCUCCUCACAAUGCCGUCACGCUUCGACCUCAACAUGGUGCUCAACUGAGAUUGCACAAACUUGGAGUCGUCUCGUAACAAGCAGAAUCUCACUUGGGAGAUUAUGGUUCUGCGAUGCUUUGGUGCUUUAUUUACCGUGUAUUGUAAAAGGCUAUUUGUAGUUUGGAUUAGAAAAAUGAAGUGGUGGUUAAUAUUGUGCAAUGUUAUUGUCAUUUAAGACUAAAGCAUGUAAAAUGAGAGAAAACUCUAUCGCUUAUCUUAUGCACUCAUAGAUAUAUUUAAUAUAUUUAAUUAAAUUCUCAAUGGUUCGUAAUAUUUAAAUCAUUAUAAUAAUAUUAUUAUAACUGUUAUAGUAGAUAUGAUGUAGCUUACAGUAUCACUAAUGUGUUAUUACUUUAGUUGCUAAUAUUAUAUACUAUCCAAUAAUAAUCUUAUUUUCAUAUCAACACACCAUCUAUUGAUAUUUGGUGGAGAUCGAAAUCUUGUGAAUACCUAAUUGACAAACGAUCUAGUGUCUUUUACGAGCAAUUAUAAUAAACAAAUACAACCACCACGACCACCCAAGUUUUACUAUAAAAUUGGUCACCAAAAUAUACCCAGUGACAUUAGAGAAAAAUAGGUUCAUCAGUCUAGUCUGACAUGUUCGAUUGGUUUGAAUUAUCCAAAACUAAUACUAAUUUGAAUAGUAAAAGAAGCAUUGUUAAGAUCACUUCUGAUUUAGUUUUAUAGGAUAGAGAAUCCAACUUGGUGUGUUUUACUAAAGAUAAACUCGAAAAUAAGUCGGUUGGAUAUGAGUUAGUUUCCAACUCAAACAAUUCAAAAUCACUCUAAUAGAACCAAAUGGAAGCUUACAAAAAAUCUAAGCAUUUCAAUUAUCUUUCUAAGUAUAUCCAUAUAAGCUACUCGUUAUCAUUAACAAAAAAAUAAGGUUAGUUGCCAUUCUCGAUCAACAAUUGUGCUAUAUUUAGAACUUUCAAACCUAUAAUUAUGAUAUCAAAGAAUGAAAUACUCAUACAGAACAUCUUUGGUAAAGUCUAAUGACUAGAUACUCUAUUGAGACGACAUAAUCAUGUCUCCACACGAGCAACUAUGAGACUAACGCUUUUAUCAUAUGGACGGAUAUACAACACACCAAUCCAUUCGAUUAUCUCAAUGUCCCUAUCAAGUAACGAAAUUAUUUAAGGUAUACAACACACCAAUCUAUUCGAUUAUCUCAAUAUCCUUGUCAAGUAACGAAAUUAUUUAAGGUCUAUGUUUAAAGGCGAAUCAGUCUCAUUAUCGCGAUCUCAUCACAAUUCGAUUCCUAUUGCAUAGAUCCAUGAACAUCAUAACGAACAAUAUAAAGUGAAAAAAAAAUCAAAUAUAAAAUAAGCAAAAAGAGUAUAUAUUAUGUCACACGUGUUAUCUAUGACUCAUCCAUAGGAUCCAAUAAUUCAUGGGUUUAUUGGAUAUUCAAUAAGAUAGGGGCUCCAACAAAUAUCUCAUAUCUAAACCUCUACUCGUCGUAACACCUACCAUAUGUGUGUGACCCUUGAGACCCAAUAUCGAGCUGGCCGUAAGUUAUACCUAUUAGAACUUUUUUUUGCUCAAUGAACUAUUAUCCUCAUAAUAAUUCACUUGACUCAUCAACUGUGGACGUACUAUGCCACUAUACCGUAGUCCCCAAACGAUAUAGGGGAAUCUAAUAUAUUGGAUCUGUCAAUCAUUAGUUAUUGUAUAUAUAUAAUCCCUCAUCGAUUUAAUACCCCAGAGAUUAUAUAUCGGACAUGGUGCUAUCAGGCCCAUACGGUUUCUACUUGAGUAUCGCUCUAAUCAGAUUCUCCCGGAGAACUUUUUCUCCCUCAAUCUGAAUGACCCUAUCCAAAGAUUUAUCUAAGAACACAUACGAUAUUCCUCUCAUGACAUCAAGAGUGGAGGAUCCUAUAUAAACACUUAAUAGCCUUCAUAAAAUUGGUUGCCCCUCUCGAUGAUUGGUUGUGUUAAAUAUGAAACUUUCAUACCUAUAAGUCUAGUAUCAAAGAGUGUAGUACUUAUACAAGACAUUCUUGGUAUCUCAAGUUUAAGGAUCGGAUACACCACUGGAAUGACGGAAUUGUUAUUUGACAAUAAGGCAUCAUCAAUCAUCAAACAUUUCAUGAGCGAAUCAAUCAAUGAACUCAUUCUCAAAUGAGCAUAUGCAUUAUAUCCCUAGUAUCCCCACAUAAGUAGUUAUGAGACCAACCGUCUCCAUUAUAUGGAUGAGUAUAUAGUACAACUAAUCUGUCCGGUUAUCUCGAUGUCUCUCUGGAGUAACUUAUGAUCGAGAUUAUUUAGGGUACGUAUUUAAAGGCGAAUCAAUUUCAUUAUCGUGAUCUUAUUACGAUCUAAUUUCCAUUGCAUAGAUUCAUAAACAUCACAAUAUAUAUAUACAAUAAACAAUAUAAAGUAAAUAAUAAUAAUAAUAAUAAUAAUAAUAAUAAUAAUAAUAAUAAAUAUAUAUCAUGUCAUAAUCGUCAUCACUUAUGUGACUGACUUUUAGGACACCUAUAACUAACACUAUAUCAAACGUCAAUAAUAUUUUUUUCUCCGCACCUAUCUCUCACACUCCUCCUUUGCCCAUCACCUGUCACUCCUCUGCUCAUUCACUUCCAAUAUUACUUGAUGACUCAAUGCAAGUGAAUAAAGAUGUCGUUAGAAGGAAAGCAGGGUAAAGAAAAGAAAAGGAAAAUAGCAAGGUAUAGAAAAGAAAAAAAAUAUUUACAUUCAUUUAUGAAGUUUCUUUAUAAUAUUAAAAACUUUUAAAAUGAGACAGAUGAUUGCUAAUAUAAAUCUAUAAAUUUAAAUAAAAAAACUUUUAUAGUAUCAUUUGAUUAAUAUUUAAUAAAAAAAUUUAUAAUACCCAUAAUUGAGAAUCAUGUGUGGUUUAAUCAUUAAACUAUAAUUUGAGCCCUUUUUUUUUCUACCUGAUUGUGACCAAUAUAUAGUUUUAUUUUUUUUUAAGUUUAGCUCUAAUAUAAUGUUAGAAAUUGAUGAGUAUAAGUUAACAUGUAUCAUUUUAAAUACGAACUCAUUCCAAAUACUUAGACUUAUUAUGUUGUGAAUCAAAUAUAAUAUAUAUCAUCCGAAUUCUUAAGAUUAUUUUUUAAUCUCUUCAAACAUGAAUAUUGGCUAACAGACUCAAUAAGUAUCUAAUAAACAUUAAAGUAGAUAAGCAAAUACAAGGGCAAUCAGAACAUGUAUAAGAUACAUCCAAUGUUGCACAGAGAUUGUUUUCCAUGGCGAGUAUGAAAUCAUAGGAUUUCUAGAUAACACAACUAAAGAUAGACUAAACAAAGACUUAGUUGGCAAACAUUAGUGAUAACUCCACAUAGACUAAACUGAAACUCACUUAGCAAACAAACUAAUGAACGCAAAGAUUCACACUCAACGUAAAGCUUGGGUUGACUGUUCGACUGAUACAAGAUAAGAAGAUAGGUGGCACAUGAUGUUCAUAGAAGAUAUAGCAAAUCUUCUAUUGGAAGCUUUUGUAAUAUCAUAUAGUGUAAAGAAGAUAUUACAAGCAACACAGGCCGGAUGAAUGACCCUAAGAUGGAUUGGUGGCAUUGUUUAUAGGAGCUCUCGGUGUUAUCUUAAAUUAAAUUAAAAUUUUCUGUUGGAAGCCUUUGUAACAUCGCCUCUUGUUUUUGAAUCAUUUAUUUAGUAUUUGUCAUUCAAAUUCUUGUGUUCUUUAUGAUUCUACUAUUGAAUCAAUCGAUCGUUGUAUCUUUUGGUGUCCUUUCUCUUCGAAUCCAAACUCGAGGUAAACUUUUUCUUCUUGUAUGGACAAAGGUAAAUGGUAAAUGAUUUGAUGAAGAUAGUUUGGAUGGUCAGAACAUUUGGGUUUUGAUCGCUAUUGGCCUUUGGUGUAGUUGGCGUGCAAGGAAUGAUAUGGUUUUUAAUCAAAUUGUCUCAUCUCCUAGCAAGAUUUUAUAUAAAAGAAAUAAUAAUAAUAAUCUUAGCUGAUGACGAGGCUAAAUUACCUGAUGGCAUUCUGUAUGAAAAAGUUUAGUGCGGAUGGCGAUGGCUACACUGUGUGAGUCACCAGAGGGUGUCGCCAUUUCACCCACCCAUGGGAUAAGGUCGCGUUACAGCAGCCGAAUCCAUCCAUCACCGGACCGCUGCAGCCCUUCUCCCUUCUUGCUCUUUGCUGCUUUACUCCAUGGCGCUGUCCGUAUCAGUGGAGAGGCUGUGGAGCUUGGGAUGGUGUGUGCCGUGGCUGCUGCUCUUGGUCUGCGCCGUGUGGGCGCUGAACCACGCGUGGUGGAGGCCCAGGCGACAGGACCGCUUGCUCCGGGCGCAGGGACUCCAAGGCACUCCUUACCGCUUCCUCCGCGGCGACCUCAAGGAGGACAAGCGCCUCCUCGAGGAGGCGCUCUCCAAGCCCAUGCCCCUCUCCCACCACAUCGUCCCUCGCGUCGAGCCUUUCCUCCACGCCGCUAUGAACGAUCUCGGCAAGUGCUCUCGGCCGCUGCUGUCUCCCUCCCCCUUCUCCUCCUUUUGCUUUGCCAACUCUCAGUUGUUUCAGGAAGCUGUUCGAUUCCAUCACCAACUGAUCGAUUGAGAAAUCACUCCAUGCACUGAACGAGAUGAAACAAAUACUACAUAUCAUUUCAUUGAUUUUAGUAGGCAUAUAUACUUUCUUGAGGCAGACAAUUGACCUUCUUUAAAUUUCCAACUUGAGAACAGAAAUCAAGUGUGAGCCAUGCGCUGAUUUGUGAGCGAAGUCUUAUACGAUGUUAAGAACAAAUCUGUAGUCUCAAAUGCAGGCAGCAGAUUCUUCAGCUGGAUUGGACCAGUGCCACGAGUGAUGAUCAUGGACCCGGAAUUGGUGAGGGAAAUCCUAUCGAACAAGUUUGGUCAUUUUGAUCGAGCAAGUCUAAGCCCCCUCGGACGAGCUUUAGGUACUGGUCUUUUAAGCUAUAAUAGGGGAAAGUGGGCCAAACACAGGAGGAUUCUGAACCCUGCUUUCCAUGUCGAGAAGUUAAAGGUAAUCAAUCAUCCAUGGUUCUCUCCUUUGGACACAUCUCAAUCUUAACUUGCGGCGGAUACGAUUUUAGAUAAUUCAAAUGCCUCAUAAUUUGUUGUAAUUCGCAGCGGAUGUUGCCGGCGUUCUCUACUUCUUGUGGUGAUCUCGUCGGCAGAUGGGAGAAUUUGGUCGGCCAGGAGGGAUCCUGUGAAUUAGAUGUUUGGCCUGAGUUCCAAUACUUCACUGGAGACGUCAUUUCACGAGCAGCUUUCAGCAGCAACUACGAAGAAGGUAGACGAAUUUUCCAACUCCAACUCGAGCUCGCUCAACUCGUCGUUCAGGCUAUCCACAGUGCUUAUAUCCCGGGUUACAGGUGAGCUCCUUCUGUGUCCAUGUUCCAGUCGAAGAACAACGAAGACUAUAUGGCUCUGGAUACUCUUUAACUUGCAAAUAUUAGAAUUCUUGCAAUUACUGACUCUAAUUGCUGCUUUGUACGUGGCACAGAUUUCUGCCUACCCCAAUGAAUAACAGAAUAAAAGCGAUCAAUAAAGAGAUUCGAUCACUUCUACGAGGUAUAAUAAGGAAGAGAGAGGAAGCUAUGAAAACUGGUGAAGCAAGCGGGCAAGAUCUCUUGGGCUUGUUGAUGGAGUCCAAUAUCAAGCAAUUCCAGGAGCAUGGGAACAAGAAUGCUGGGAUGACCAUCGAUGAAGUGGUUGAUGAAUGCAAGCUAUUCUACUUUGCAGGGCAAGAAACGACUGCUAUCUUGCUAACAUGGACGAUGGUGGUUUUAAGCAUGCACCCCGAAUGGCAAGCAAGGGCUAGAGAAGAGGUCCUGCAGGUCCUCGGGAAAGACAAACCAGAGAUCGAUGGCUUGAACCGUUUAAAGAUCGUGAGUGCUCUGCCAUUACGCUAAUCAGCUUUCUUUUAGGUAAAAUGCAGAGUCUAAAUAAUUGCUGUGGCAGGUGACGAUGAUACUAUACGAGGUUCUUCGGUUGUACCCACCGCUGCUACACAUCCAGAGGAGAACAUACAAGACGGUGGAAAUCGGAAACGUAUCGUACCCACCAGGAACACUGCUCGCAUUGCCCAUAGUAUUCCUUCACCAUGACCAAAUCUUGUGGGGCGAAGAUGCAAGCGAGUUCAAACCGGAGAGAUUCGCACAAGGGAUAGCGAAGGCAUCGAGAGAUCAGAUUGCUUUCUUUCCGUUCGGCGGCGGUCCUCGCGUUUGCAUCGGUCAAAAUUUUGCGUUGCUGGAAGCUAAGAUGGGAUUGAGUGCGAUUCUUCAAAGAUUUUGGUUUGAGCUCUCACCAUCGUAUGCUCAUGCUCCACUCAAUGUCCGCACACUUCAUCCUCAACAUGGUGCUCAAUUGAGGUUGCACAAACUUGGAGUCGUCUCAUAACGAGGGGAAUCUCACUUGGGAGAUUUUGGUUUUACGAUGCUUUAGUGCUUUUUAUCUACUGCAUAAUGUAAUAGACAAUUUGUAGUUUCGAUUAUAAAAAUGAAGUGAUGGUUAAUAUGGAGCAAUGUUUUUGUAAUUUAAGACUAAAGCUUGUAAAACUAAUUUACCACUUCAAAUUUACACACCAGAGAAAAUACUCUUAUCGUUUAUCUUUUUGCACCCAUAGACAUAUUUAAUAUAUUUAAUCAAAUUGUCAAAGGUUUGGUUUACACAUUAGCAUCACGUAUAGCUAAUGUGUUAUUAUUUUAGUUGCCAAUGUCAUGCGCUACUCAAUAAUAAUUUUAUUUUUACAUUAGCAUAUCAUCGAUUGAUUGAUUGAUGAACAACAUGAUUAAUUGAUGAGUGUUCUAAUGUCUCUUAUGAGCAAUUACAAUCAACAAAUGUAAUCACCUUAUAACGACUACCAAAGUUUUACUAUAAAAUGGGUUAUUUGACUAAUUUAGAUUGUCCCAAACUAAUACUAAUUUGAGCGUAAGGAGGAGCAUCGUUAACACUGUCCCUGACUAAGUUUUAAAGGGUGGGGCGUCAAAAACAAACUAAAAAAGAAAUCAAGUUAAAUUCAUAUUGGCUUCCAACUCAAAGAACUCAAAAAUCGACUCUAAUAGAACCAAAUCUAAGCUUUACAAAAAUUCUAAACACUAUUUAUUGUCUUUCUAAGUAGAUCUAUAUAAGCUACUCAUUAUCAUUAAAAAAAUAAAAUGGAUAUAAGCAAAUCAUUCCUCAAUAAACACAAAUUAUCGAUAUCAAUGUUUAAUCUCCAUUGGUAUGGCCCAGAUUAUAACUAUACUAAACAAAUAAUUAAAAUAUCAUAUAAUAUAUUAUAAAAUGUAUCAAAUGUUAAAUAUUUUAAAGAUUUCUUUACAAAAUACUUUGAGUCUAGUCAGAAUCAUAUAGCAUUACCAAAACUAAUUUUGCAAAAGGCUUUACCAUAUUUUUGAACCAUAAAACAUUUUGAAAUCAAUAAGUGUUUCAAAUAGUAUUUACAAAAUAUAUUUUUUUUACUAAUUGAAAACAUACAUAAUAUUUUUCUUAUUUUUUUAAUAAUGAAAUAUUUUGUAAGUCAACCAAAAACUAUAUAAGUCAUAAACAUAUAAAUUAUUACUUGAACAUAAAUUAGAUCAGAUACAACUUAGUCGUAGAUAAUCAAAAUUAACACAAUAUAUAUUUUUUUUUUAUAGAUUCCUGCUCAAAUUAUUAUCGUUGUCGAAUCUAUUAUAGUACCAUAAGAUCACUUUCGCAGAUGAUCAAGAGAUCACAUACAUAAUAUUUUAUUCAAACAAUCAUACACAUUGUAAUAUAUUAUAUUAUUCAGUGUCAUAAGAUCACUUUCGUUGAGGAUCAUAAGAUCACAUAAAUAAUAUUCUAUUUAAGUAAUCAUACACAUGUAUAAUCUAUUAUAUGAUUGAGUGAUAAUAAGGUUUUCAGUUAUCAACAAGAAAAAUCUUUAAGAAACCAAUCAUAAUUUAUCAAUAGGUAAAAUCCAAAUAUCUCAUCUUGUCCUUACUAGUGGUUUAUAUUUUGAAAUCGCUGUUUAUAGUAACAAAAUAAUCUUCUAGUUUCAAUGUUGAAUUGAAAUAAUCUUUUUAAUAAAAUUUAAAAAUAAUUUAUAGUAAUAAAAUAAUCAUAAUUUGUUUCUCAAUUUUCAUAAAGACAUUAAAAAGGAAUAUCUUUUACCCACUAAAAUGGGAAUAAAUUCCUCCCAAUAAUAAUUAUACUAAUAAUCAUAUUUAAUAAUCAAUAGGUCCCAUAGCGAGUCAUGUUACCCUCACAAAGAACAAUAUUUUUUUAUACAUCAUUAAUUGUCAGACCUAAACUCAAAGCUAGCUAACAACUUCAUGUGCAAUCUAAUCUUGUCUAGGCUUUGUCCGGUACUAGAUAACUUCAUAAUAAAUCUCAUAAAAUAUCAAUUAAUUUUUGUAAAUCAUUGGUAAAAUGAAAUCAUAAAAAAAUUAGUAUCAUUAAAAUCCUUCAAAACCAAUAAUAUCACACUUAUUUCAUAAAUAGAAAAUAUGAUUUUUAAAGUGAAUGAAAUUCAAUAGAAAAUUCAAUCAUUCAAUCGAAUCAUAUGAUAUAAAAUAAUAUUAAAAUUAGACUUAAAACAAAGAAAUACAAUGAAUUUAUAAACUAAUCCCUAGAGUUUACAAAUUGAUCUCUAUUCUUUACGCAUCAAGUCAUGGAUAUAUCAAUUAGAUCCUUAAAACUUUAUAAAAAAAUCAAGUUAUCUCUACUACCUAGGCUAACUUAAUCGGUUCUCACCUGAAUCAAGUUUAGCCAAAAUCGAUCACUCUUGGAUUCAUACCUGCUCGCUUGUUUCAAUCUAGUUGUAUUAGAUAGGUUUAUGGGAGCCUAUCGAUUGAACCUAAGUUGAGUUCAUAUGAGAGCCUAUGAAUUAGAUCGGAUUCAUAUGUUCAAGUUCACAUUAGAGGCUGACCUAACAAUCCUCCUUGUCCAUGUUUUUUAGUUUAAACAAAACCAUAUCAUCUAAAUUUGUGAAUAUCAUAAUAAAAUACUACUCUCAAAUAAUAUGAUAUACUAAUAAAUCACCAAUAUUGAUUGAUAAAAUUAUAUUUCUAAAAACAAGUCUUAAAUCAUAAUAUCAACUAGAAACACUAAUAAUCUUAAAAGAAAGCCACUAGUAGUUUGAAAAAAAAAAAUCAUAUUUCACAUAAUUUCCAAAAUCAUCUCCGAAUUAUAAUCUUCUCAAAUCAUCAAAAAAUAUAACCGAAUAAUUAUAGAAAAUAGAAAGGAAAUCCUUUCCAUAUCAUACCAUAGAUGAAUUUAGUAUAAUAUUUUAUAUAUUGAUAAUAAGAAUAGAAAAAUAAGAUGUUAAUGACACACGGACUAUAAUAUGAAAGGAUGAUAAUAAUUAAACAUAACUAUACAGAAAAAAAAAUGGAUCUCUAUGAUAUAAAGUUUUACCCUUAAGACGUCCCUUAGGAUUAGGUCAAGAAGGCUGCCCCCUAAGCAUCGAGCAUUAGUAUAUCAUGUCUUUAGUAUUAGUUAUAAAGUGUAUAUAUACUUUUAAGAGGGUGUUGUAAGCUACGGAAAGAAAGUUUUAUUGCUUUAAAAAUAAUUGCAUCAACUCGAUCGAUCCUCUACAUCCUAGAAUGAGGUCCCAACCUACUAAGAUACAAAACUAGUCAGAUGGACAAUCUCGAAGAUGCUAUAAAUAGAAGACAUAAAGAACAAGUCAAGUAGAUAGACCUGACGACUCAAACCAAUGCAAUAUGAGAUAGCAAGCUAUGCAUCGGGAUGAGAUAGUGAGUCAGCACUAUUGUCAAAAGGCAUUUUGGGCACUAUGAGAACAUGAUGAUCCUCAUGAUAAUCGAUAAUCGAUAAACGAAUCCUUCUCAAAUUCUAGUCUGUGGUACCUUAUCUUGAAAUGGACUAAGGUGAUGUAGUACCCGUACCGAUAUGAGAUGACCCUUGAUCUCUCUAAGCCCCUUUUAAAUCCAACGGAAGCCUUGUAGUUGGCAAUUUCCUUCUCUCGAUACCUUAGUAUCAUGGGUUUCUUGGCCUCCAACACCUCUUUCAAGCCUCGAACUUACUCGGUGAUACUCAUGAUUUAUUCAUUGGCCAUGGUAACUUGAUGAGCUUUGAGUUGUAUGUCCUCAUCGAAUCCAACUCUCAGGUAAGUCCCAAGAGCCUCUUAUCUACUUAACGUAAUCAGCAAGGUGUCACUUGACCUUCUCUAGUUGCCUCGUCAGCUUGGCCCCUCAAACCUCUAUCUCUCCAUUAGCUCCUCUACUUCUUCGUAAAAAGUAUCAAUUAUAUGAAUUAUUAGUGCAUCACGGAGUCCGCAUCACAUAUGUAAUCAACGUGGGUUGUGAUGUAAUGAUAAUACUACAAACAAAAAAUAAUGGGAUAAGUAAUAAAAAAAUAAAAUAACUAGCCAGAGCUUAAUUUACUAGUACUUCUAGGAUAACACAUGUUAAUUAAAAUCACCAAAGGGAAGUAGUAGAUAUGCUUCAUCACUCUUAAGCACACGGACCCUCGGUAGUAUUACUUCGCAAUAGUACUGUCACCCCCAUACUUUAUGCCCCUUUACAAACCCUCUCAUCUAAUAUAUAUAUAUAUAUAUAUAUGUGUGUGUGUACGGAACACGUGCAACAUGUGGUCGGCGACCGGGUGAGUCACCCGAGUGUGUCGCCAUUUCACCCAACCAAGAGAUAAAGUCGCGUUACAGCAGCCGGAUCCAUCACCAGACCGCUGCAGCCUUCUCCCUUGCUCUUUGAUGCAGAGCUCCAUGGCGCUGUCCGUAUUAGUGGAGAGGCUGUGGAGCUUGGGAUGGGGUGUGGCGUGGCUGCUGCUCUUGGUCUGCGCCGUGUGGGCGCUGAACCACGCGUGGUGGAGGCCCAGGCGACAAGACCGCUUGCUCCGGGCGCAGGGACUCCAAGGCACUCCUUACCGCUUCCUCCGCGGCGACCUCAAGGAGGGCAAGCGCCUCCUCGAGGAGGCGCUCUCCAAGCCCAUGCCCCUCUCCCACCACAUCAUCCCUCGCGUGGAGCCUUUCCUCCACGCCGCUAUGAACGAUCUCGGCAAGUGCUCUCGGCCGCUGCUGUCUCCCUCCCCCUUCUCCUCCUUUUGCUUUGCCAACUCUCAGUUGUUUUAGCAAGCCAUUCGAUUCCAUCACCAACUGAUGGAUUGAGAAAUCACUUCAUGCACUGAACGAGAUGAAACAAAUAUUACAUAUCAAUUCAUAGAUUUUAGUAGGCAUAUAUACUUUCUUGAGGCAGACAAUUGACCUUCUUAAGAUUUCCAACUUGAGAACAGAAAUCAAGUGUGAGCCAUGCACUGAUUUGUGAGCGAAGUCUUAUGCUGUGUUAAGAACAAAAUCUGUCGUCUCAAAUGCAGGCAGGAGAUUCUUCAGCUGGUUUGGACCUGUGCCACGAGUGAUGAUCAUGGACCCGGAAUUGGUGAGGGAAAUCCUGUUGAACAAGUUUGGUCAUUUUGAACGAACAACUCUAAGCCCCCUCGGACGAGCUGUCGCUACUGGUCUUUUAAGCUAUAAUGGGGGAAAGUGGGCCAAACACAGGAGGAUUCUGAACCCCGCUUUCCACGUCGAGAAGUUAAAGGUAAUCAAUCAUCCAUGGUUCUCUCCUUAUGACACAUCUCAAUCUUAGCUUGCGGCUUAUACGAUUUUAGAUCAUUCAAAUGCCUCUUAAUUUGUUGUAAUUCGCAGCGAAUGUUGCUGGCGUUCUCUGCUUCUUGUGGUGAUCUCGUCGGCAGAUGGGAGAAUUUGGUCGGCCAGGAGGGAUCCUGUGAGUUAGAUGUUUGGCCUGAGUUCCAAUACUUCACUGGAGACGUCAUUUCACGAGCAGCUUUCAGCAGCAACUACGAAGAAGGUAGACGAAUUUUCCAACUCCAACUCGAGCUCGGUCAACUCGUCGUUCAGGCUAUCCACAGUGGUUAUAUCCCGGGUUACAGGUGAGCUCCUUCUGUGUCCAUGUUCCAGUCGAAGAACAACGAAGACUAUAUGGCUCUGGGUACUCUUUAACUUGCAAAUUUUAGAAUUCUUGCAAUUACUGACUCUAAUUGCUGCUUUGUGCGUAGCACAGAUUUCUGCCUACCCCAAAAAAUAACAGAAUAAAAGCGAUCAAUAAAGAGAUUCGAUCACUUCUACGAGGUAUAGUAAGGAAGAGAGAGGAAGCUAUGAAAACUGGUGAAGCAAGCGGCCAAGAUCUCUUGGGCUUGUUGAUGGAGUCCAAUAUCAAGCAAUUCCAGGAGCAUGGGAACAAGAAUGCUGGGAUGACUAUCGAUGAAGUGGUUGAGGAAUGCAAGCUAUUCUACCUUGCAGGGCAAGAAACAACUGCUGUCUUGCUUACAUGGACGAUGGUAGUCUUAGGCAUGCAUCCCGAAUGGCAAGAAAGGGCUAGAGAAGAGGUCCUGCAGGUCCUUGGGAAAGACAAACCAGAGUUCGAUGGCUUGAACCGUUUAAAGAUUGUGAGUGCUCUGCCAUUACGCUAAUCAGCUUUCUUUUAGGUAAAUGCAGGGUCUAAACAAUUGCUGUGGCAGGUGACGAUGAUACUAUACGAGGUUCUUCGGUUGUACCCACCGCUGGUACUCAUCCAUAGGAGAACAUACAAGACGGUGGAAAUCGGAAACGUAUCGUACCCACCAGGAGCACUGCUCGCAUUGCCCAUAGCAUUCCUUCACCAUGACCAAAUCUUGUGGGGCGAAGAUGCAAGCGAGUUCAAACCGGAGAGAUUCGCACAAGGGAUAGCGAAGGCAUCGAGAGAUCAGAUUGCUUUCUUUCCGUUCGGCGGGGGUCCUCGCGUUUGCAUCGGUCAAAAUUUUGCGUUGCUGGAAGCUAAGAUGGGAUUGAGUGCGAUUCUUCAAAGAUUUUGGUUUGAGCUCUCACCAUCGUAUGCUCAUGCUCCUCACAGUGUCGUCACGCUUCGACCUCAACAUGGUGCUCAACUGAGGUUGCACAGACUCGGAGUCGUCUCGUAAGAAGCAGAAUCUCACUUGGGAGAUUAUGGUUUUACGAUGCUUUGGUGCUUUAUCUACUGCAUAAUGUAAUAGACUAUUUGUAGUUUGGAUUACAAAAAUGAGGUGAUGGUUAAUAUUGCGCAAUGUUAUUGUAAUUUAAGACUAAAGCAUGUAAAACUAAUUUACACACUAGAGAAAAUUCUCUAUCGUUUAUCUUUUGCACCCAUAGCCACGUUUAAUAUUUUUAAUCAAUUUGUCAAAGGUUUAUAAAAUCCAAAUCCUUAUAACAUUAUCAUAGUAGAUAUGAUGUGUUUUACACAUUAGCAUCAUGUACAACUAAUGUGUUAUUAACUACUCAAUAAUAAUUUUAUUUUCACAUCAACACAUCAUAGAUUGAUGAACAACAUGAUUCUUUGAUAAAUGUUCUAAUGUCUCUUAUGAGCAAUUACGAUCAACAAACGUGAUCACCCUAUAACAACUACCUAAGUUUUACUAUAAGAUGGAUUAUUAAAAUAUGCCUAGAGAUAUUGGAGAAAAAUAGGUCGAUCAAACUAGUGUGAUAUAUUCAACUAGUUUAGAUUGUGCCAAACCAAUACUAACUUGAGCGUAGGAGAAGUAUCAUUAAGACUAUCCCCGACUAAGUUUUGAACAGUGGCAAGUCCAGUUUAGUGAAUUUUUUCAAAACAUUCUCAAAAAGAAAUAAAGUUGGAUCCGAGUUGACUUCCAACUCGAAGAAUUCAAAAUCUACUCUAUUAGAACCAAAUCCAAGCUUAAUAAAAAUUCUAAAUACUUCAAUUAUAUUUGUAAGUAUAUCAAUGCAAGCUACUCAUUAGCAUUAAAAAAAUAAAAUGGAUAUAAGCAAAUCUUGCCUCAGUAAACACAAACUACCGAUAUCAAUGUUUAAUCUCCAUUAGUAUGGUCCUGAUUAUAACUAUACUAAACAAAUAAUUAAAAUAUCAUAUAAUAUAUUAUAAAAUGUAUCAAAUGUUAAAUAUUUUAAAGAUUUCUUUACAAAAUACUUCGAGUCUAGUCAGAAUCAUAUAGCAUUACCAAAACUAAUUUUGCAAAAGGCUUUACCAUAUUUUUGAACCAUAAAACAUUUUGAAAUCAAUAAGUGUUUCAAAUAGUAUUUACAAACUUUUUUUUUCUAAUUGAAAACAUAUAUAAUAUUUUUCUUAUUUUUGAAUAAUAAAGUAUUUUGUAAGNNNNNNNNNNNNNNNNNNNNUAUAUAUAUAUAUAUAUAUAUAUAUAUAUAUAUAUAUAUAUAUAUAUAUAUAUAUAUAUAAUAGAUUCCUGCUCAAAUUAUUAUCAUUAUCGAUUUUUAUUUUCGCAGAUGAUCAAGAGAUCACAUACAUAAUAUUUUAUUCAAACAAUCAUACACAUGGUAAUAUAUUAUAUUAUUCAGUGUCAUAAGAUCACAUAAAUAAUAUUCUAUUUAAGUAAUUAUACACAUGUAUAAUCUAUUAUAUGAUUGAGUGAUAAUAAGGUUAUCAGUUAUCAAAAAGAAAAAUCUUUAAGAAACCAAUCAUAAUUUAUCAAUAGAUAAAAUCCAAAUAUCACAUCUUGUCCUUACUAGUGAUUUUUAUUUUGGAAUCGUCGUUUCCAAGUUUAGAUUUCUGAGAACCACCAUCGAAUCGGAUCUGGGCGAUUCUAGUUUCAACGUUGAAUUGAAAUAAUCUUUUUAAUAAAAUUUAAAAAUAAUUUAUAGUAACAAAAUAAUCAUAAUUUAUUUCUAAAUUUUCAUAAAGACAUUAAAAAAAUAUUUUUUACCCACUAAAAUGGGAAUAAGUUCCUCCCAAUAAUAAUUAUACUAAUAAUCAUAUUUAAUAAUCAAUAGGUCCCAUGGGGAAAUCAUGUUACCCUCACAGUAAUAUUUUUUUAUACAUCAUCAAUUGUCAUUAGUUAGUAAAUUUCAUGUGCAAUCUAAUCUUGUCUAGGUUUUGUCCCGGACUAUAUAACUGUCAUAAUAAAUCUCAUAAAAUAUCAAUUAUUUUUUUAUAAAUUAUUGUCAAAAUAAAAUUAUAAAAAAAUUAGUAUAAUUAAAAUCCUUUAAAACCAAUAAUAUCACACUUAUUUCAUAAUAAAAAAUAUGAUUUUAAAGUAAAUGAAAUUCAAUAGAAAAUUCAAUCAUUCAAUCGAAUCAUAUGAUAUAAAAUAAUAUUAAAAUCAUACUUAAAACGAAGAAAUACAAUGAAUUUACAAACUAAUCCCUAGAGUUUACAAAUGAAUUUAAACUAGUCGAUUGAUAUAUCAAUUAGAUCCUUAAAACUUUAUUAAAAAAUCAAGUUAUCUCUACUACCUAAGCUAACUUAAUCGGUUCUCACCUGAAUCAAAAUUAGCCUAAACCAAAAUCGAUCACUCUUGGGUUCAUACUUGUCCGUUUGUUUCAGUCUAAUUGUAUUAGAUAAGUUUAUGGGAGCUUAUGGAUUGAACCUAAGUUGAGUUCAUAGGGAGCCUAUGAAUUAGAUUGGAUUCAUGGGUUCAAGUCGACAUUAGAGUUUGACAUUAGAGCUUGUCGAUGUUUUUUAGUUUAAACAAAAGUAUAUCAACUAAAUUUGUGAAUAUCAUAAUAAAAUACUACUCUCAAAUAAUAUGAAAUAUUAAUAAAUCCCCAAUAUUGAUUGAUAAAAUUAUAUUUCUAAAAGCAAGUCUUAAAUCAUAAUAUCAACUAGAAACACUAAUAAUCUUAUAAGAAAGCCACUGGUAAUUUGAAAAAAAAUUCAUAUUUCACAUAAUUUUCAAAAUCAUCUCCGAAUUAUAAUCUUCUCAAAUCAUAAAAAAUAUAACCAAAUAAUUAUAGAAAAUAGAAAGAAAAUCCUUUCCAUAUCAUACGAUAAAUGAAUUUAGCAUAUUAUUUUCUAUAUUGAUAAUAAAAAUAGAAAAAUAAAAUAUUAAUGACACAUGGACUAUAACAUGAAAGGAUGAUAAUAAUUGAACAUAACUAUACAGAGAAAAGAUGAAUCUCUAUGAUAUAAAGUUUUACCCUUAAGAUGUCCCUCGGGAUUAAGUCAAGAAGGCUACGCCCUAAGCAUCGAGCAUUGGUAUAUCAUGUCUUUAGUAUUAAUUAUAAAGUGUAUAUAUACUUUUAAGAUGUUAGUAUUGCAUGCUAUUGAAAGAAAGUUUCAUUGUUUUAAAAAUGAUUACAACAACUCGAUCGAGCCUCUACAUCCUAGAAUGAGGUCCCAACCUACUAAGAUACAAUACUAGUUAGAUGGACAAUCUCAAAGAUGCUAUAAAUAGAAGACAUAAAAAACAAGUUGAGUAGAUAGACUUGACGACUCAAACCAAUGCAAUAUGAGAUAGCAAGCUAUGCAUCGGGAUAAGGUAGCGAGUCAGGACUGUUGUCAAAAGGCAUUUUGGGCACUACGAGAACAUGAUGAUCCUCAUGAUAAUCGAUGAAUGAAUCCUUCUCGAGCUCUAGUCUAUGGUACCUUGCCUUGAAAUGAGCUAAGGUGAUGUAGUACCCAUACCGAUAUGAGAUGACCCAUGAUCUCUCUAAGCCCCUCUUGAAUCUAACGGAAGCUUUGUAAUUGACAAUUUCCUUCUCUCGGUACCUUAGUAUCAUGGGUUCCUUGGCCUCCAACACCUCCUUCAAGCCUCGAACUUACUUAGUGAUACUCAUGAUUUAUUUAUUGGCUAUGGUAACUUGAUGAGCUUUCAGUUAUAUGUCCUCAUCGAAUCCAACUCUUAGGUAAGUCCCAGGAGCCUCUCAUUUACUUAACGUAGUCAGUAAGGUAUCACUCGAUCUCCUCUAGUUGCCUCGUCAGCUUGGCCCCUCAAGCCUCUACCUCGACAAGACAAGGAGCAUGGGGUCCUCAAUCUCCGCCUCUCUACUUCUUCGUAAAGAUUAUCAAUUAUAUGGAUUAUUAGUGCAUGACGGAGUCGACAUCCUAUAGGUAAUCAAUAUGGGUUGUGAUGUAACGGUGAUACUACAAACAAAAAAUAAUGGGUAAGUAAUGAAAAAAUAAAGGGGCUAAUCAUAGUUUAACUUACUAGUACUUCUAUGAUAGGACGUGUUAAUUAAAACCUCAAAGAGAAAAUAGUAGAUAUGCUUCACCACUCGUAAUAACACGGAUCGUCGGUAGUAUUAUUUCGCAAUAGUACUAUCACCCCGUACUUUAUGUCCCUUAUACAAAUUCUUCCAUCGUGGCAAGUGAACUCGAGCUUGANNNNNNNNNNNNNNNNNNNNNNNNNNNNNNNNNNNNNNNNNNNNNNNNNNNNNNNNNNNNNNNNNNNNNNNNNNNNNNNNNNNNNNNNNNNNNNNNNNNNNNNNNNNNNNNNNNNNNNNNNNNNNNNNNNNNNNNNNNNNNNNNNNNNNNNNNNNNNNNNNNNNNNNNNNNNNNNNNNNNNNNNNNNNNNNNNNNNNNNNNNNNNNNNNNNNNNNNNNNNNNNNNNNNNNNNNNNNNNNNNNNNNNNNNNNNNNNNNNNNNNNNNNNNNNNNNNNNNNNNNNNNNNNNNNNNNNNNNNNNNNNNNNNNNNNNNNNNNNNNNNNNNNNNNNNNNNNNNNNNNNNNNNNNNNNNNNNNNNNNNNNNNNNNNNNNNNNNNNNNNNNNNNNNNNNNNNNNNNNNNNNNNNNNNNNNNNNNNNNNNNNNNNNNNNNNNNNNNNNNNNNNNNNNNNNNNNNNNNNNNNNNNNNNNNNNNNNNNNNNNNNNNNNNNNNNNNNNNNNNNNNNNNNNNNNNNNNNNNNNNNNNNNNNNNNNNNNNNNNNNNNNNNNNNNNNNNNNNNNNNNNNNNNNNNNNNNNNNNNNNNNNNNNNNNNNNNNNNNNNNNNNNNNNNNNNNNNNNNNNNNNNNNNNNNNNNNNNNNNNNNNNNNNNNNNNNNNNNNNNNNNNNNNNNNNNNNNNNNNNNNNNNNNNNNNNNNNNNNNNNNNNNNNNNNNNNNNNNNNNNNNNNNNNNNNNNNNNNNNNNNNNNNNNNNNNNNNNNNNNNNNNNNNNNNNNNNNNNNNNNNNNNNNNNNNNNNNNNNNNNNNNNNNNNNNNNAGAACACGUGCAACAGGUGGUCGGCCACCUGUUUGUCCAUUUGCUGUGGGGAUGGCGAUGGCCACACCGUGUGAGUCAACCGAGGGUGUCGCCAUUUCACCCACCCAUGAGAUAAGGUCGCGUUACAGCAGCCGAAUCCAUCACCAGACCGCUGCAGCCUUCUCCCUUCUUGCUCUUUGCUGCUUUACUCCAUGGCGCUGUCCGUCUUAGUGGAGAGGCUGUGGAACUUGGGAUGGGGUGUGGCGUGGCUGCUGCUCUUGGUCUGCGCCGUGUGGGCGCUGAACCACGCGUGGUGGAGGCCCAGGCGACAAGACCGCUUGCUCCGGGCGCAGGGACUCCAAGGCACUCCUUACCGCUUCCUCCGCGGCGACCUAAAGGAGGACAAGCGCCUCCUCGAGGAGGCGCUCUCCAAGCCCAUGCCCCUCUCCCACCACAUCGUCCCUCGCGUCGAGCCUUUCCUCCACGCCGCUAUGAACGAUCUCGGCAAGUGCUCUCGGCCGCUGCUGUCUCCCUCCCCUUUCUCCUCCUUUUGCUUUGCCAACUCUCAGUUGUUUCAGCAAGCUGUUCGAUUCCAUCACCAACUGAUCGAUUGAGAAAUCACUCCAUGCACUGAACGAGAAGAAACAAAUACUCCAUGUCAAUUCAUAGAUUUUAGUAGGCAUAUAUACUUUCUUGAGGCAGACAAUUGACCUUCUUUAGUUUUCCAACUCGAGAACAGAUAUCAAGCGUGAGCCAUGCACUGAUUUGUCAACUUACUCUUAUGCUGUGUUAAGAACAAAUCUGUAGUCUCAAAUGCAGGCAGCAGAUUCUUCAGCUGGUUUGGACCUGUGCCACGAGUGAUGAUCAUGGACCCGGAAUUGGUGAGGGAAAUCCUAUCGAACAAGUUUGGUCAUUUUGAACGAAUAACUCUAAGCCCCCUCGGACGAGCUGUCGCUACUGGUCUUUUAAGCUAUAAUGGGGGAAAGUGGGCCA
rnacentral:lncRNA from 1 species